rnacentral:rRNA from 1 species
AACGAACGCUGGCGGCAUGCCUAACACAUGCAAGUCGAACGAGACCUUCGGGUCUAGUGGCGCACGGGUGCGUAACGCGUGGGAACCUGCCCUUAGGUUCGGAAUAACUCCCCGAAAGGGGUGCUAAUACCGGAUAAUGUCUUCGAACCAAAGAUUUAUCGCCUUUGGAUGGGCCCGCGUUGGAUUAGCUAGUUGGUAGGGUAAAAGCCUACCAAGGCGACGAUCCAUAGCUGGUCUGAGAGGAUGAUCAGCCACACUGGGACUGAGACACGGCCCAGACUCCUACGGGAGGCAGCAGUGGGGAAUAUUGGACAAUGGGCGAAAGCCUGAUCCAGCAAUGCCGCGUGAGUGAUGAAGGCCUUAGGGUUGUAAAGCUCUUUUACCCGGGAUGAUAAUGACAGUACCGGGAGAAUAAGCGCCAGCUAACUCCGUG